AACGAACGCUGGCGGCAGGCCUAACACAUGCAAGUCGAACGCCCUAGCAAUAGGGAGUGGCAGACGGGUGAGUAACACGUGGGAACCUUCCCUAUAGUACGGAAUAGCUCAGGGAAACUUGAAGUAAUACCGUAUACGCCCGAGAGGGGAAAGAUUUAUCGCUAUAGGAUGGGCCCGCGUCGGAUUAGCUAGUUGGUGAGGUAAUGGCUCACCAAGGCGACGAUCCGUAGCUGGUUUGAGAGAACGACCAGCCACACUGGGACUGAGACACGGCCCAGACUCCUACGGGAGGCAGCAGUGGGGAAUAUUGGACAAUGGGCGCAAGCCUGAUCCAGCCAUGCCGCGUGAGUGAUGAAGGCCUUAGGGUUGUAAAGCUCUUUUAGCAGGGAAGAUAAUGACUGUACCUGCAGAAUAAGCUCCGGCUAACUUCGUGCCAGCAGCCGCCGUAACAC
rnacentral:rRNA from 1 species